rnacentral:rRNA from 1 species
AUUGAACGCUGGCGGCAUGCUUUACACAUGCAAGUCGAACGGCAGCGGGGUAGUGCUUGCACUACUGCCGGCGAGUGGCGAACGGGUGAGUAAUAUAUCGGAACGUACCGAGUAAUGGGGGAUAACCAAUCGAAAGAUUGGCUAAUACCGCAUACGUCCUGAGGGAGAAAGCGGGGGAUCGCAAGACCUCGCGUUAUUCGAGCGGCCGAUAACCGAUUAGCUAGUUGGUGGGGUAAAGGCCUACCAAGGCGACGAUCAGUAGCGGGUCUGAGAGGACGAUCCGCCACACUGGGACUGAGACACGGCCCAGACUCCUACGGGAGGCAGCAGUGGGGAAUUUUGGACAAUGGGGGCAACCCUGAUCCAGCCAUGCCGCGUGUAUGAAGAAGGCCUUCGGGUUGUAAAGUACUUUUGUUAGGGAAGAAAAGGGAAGUGCUAAUACCACUUUUUGCUGACGGUACCUAAAGAAUAAGCACCGGCUAACUACGUG